rnacentral:rRNA from 1 species
GUACCAUAACCGACACAGGUGGGUAAGUAGAGUAUACUAAGGGGCGCGAGAUAACUCUCUCUAAGGAACUCGGCAAAAUAACUCCGUAACUUCGGGAGAAGGAGUGCCUUAUUCUUAAGGUUGCAAUAACAAGAUCCAAGCAACUGUUUAUCAAAAACACAGGUCUCCGCUAAGUCGUAAGACGAUGUAUGGGGGCUGACGCCUGCCCAGUGCCAGAAGGUUAAAGAAGUCGGUUAGCAAUAGCAAAGCUGGUAACUGAAGCCCUGGUGAACGGCGGCCGUAACAAUAACGGUCCUAAGGUAGCGAAAUUCCUUGUCGGGUAAGUUCCGACCCGCACGAAAGGCGUAACGAUUUGGAUGCUGUCUCGGAGAGGGGCUCGGUGAAAUAGACUUGUCUGUGAAGAUGCGGACUACCUGCACCAGGACAGAAAGACCCUAUGAAGCUUUACUGUAACUUGAAAUUGAAAUUGGACUUUAUUCGCGCAGUAUAGGUGGGAGGCGUUGAUUAUAAUCUUGUGGGAUUAUUGGAGCCAUCAGUGAGAUACCACUCUUGUAAUGUUAGAUUUCUAACUUUGAAUCAUUAUCUGGUCAAAGGACAGUUUCAGGCGGGCAGUUUGACUGGGGCGGUCGCCUCCUAAACGGUAACGGAGGCGUACAAAGGUUUCCUCUGAACGGUUAGAAAUCGUAUCUAGAGUGUAAAGGCAUAAGGAAGCUUGACUGUGAGACCUACAAGUCGAGCAGGGACGAAAGUCGGUCUUAGUGAUCUGACGGUACUGAGUGGAAAGGCCGUCACUCAACGGAUAAAAGUUACUCUAAGGAUAACAGGCUGAUCUCCCCCAAGAGUUCACAUCGACGGGGAGGUUUGGCACCUCGAUGUCGGCUCAUCGCAUCCUGGGGCGGUAGUACGUCCCAAGGGUUGGGCUGUUCGCCCAUGAAAGCGGUACGCGAGCUGGGUUCAGAACGUCGUGAGACAGUUCGGUCCAUAUCCGGUGUAGGCGCUAGAAUAUUGAGAGGAGCCUUCUUUAGUACGAGAGGACCGAGAAGGACAUACCUCUGGUGUACCAGUUAUCGUGCCAACGGUAAACGCUGGGUAGCUAUGUAUGGAGUGGAUAACCGCUGAAAGCAUCUAAGUGGGAAGCCCACCUCAAGAUAAGUAUUCUCAUCACGUAAGUGAGUAAGGUCACGGUAAGACUAACCGUUUGAUAGGCAUUAAGUGUAAGUACAGUAAUGUAUGUGCUGAGAUGUCCUAAUAGACCGAGGACUUGA